AGAAUGCGAUCAUUUUUAUACCAAUUACUCUGGGCUAUUUAAUGGUUAUUUCCUUAUAAAUUGUAAUAAAUACUGUAGAUCUACACCGUAUGUGCAAUAGGACUUUUGCAGAUCAACGACCUAGGAGACAGAUAUAGGUUGAGGGCACGUGGUAUGCGGAAACAGGAUGGGUGUGACGCAGAGGGUGCAGGUUGAGGGUGGUAUGUUGCGUCAUUGGAUGAUUGGUACCACAGGGACGAGGCGUACGUUUGUCUUUUUCCAUCUGAAAAUCAAUAUUAUAUUAAAAUGUAUAAAAACUGUAUAUAUUAUAUACAGUAGUUUUCGAUACGAAAGUAUCACAUAUAUAAAUUAUAAUGCAAGGGACUACAAGUCCCGUCUUCCGCUACUGCAUGGUGCUUCAUGGCUCGUCGUGGGUGGCUACCGUGAUGUCCUAAUCCCACCAAGUCCCUAGAGCGUACUCUAGGAUCGUACAGUUCUUAGUGUGAAAACAGAAAGCGGACGGAUUUGCGGAGACAAAGCGCGAAUGGAAAACAUGCGCACAGAAAGCUACGCGAGAACAAAAGGAUAAACGAAGAACGAUGGAGACAAAGACUAAAACGUAGGACUAAAAACGACGGGAGGAAAAACGACAUUUUUUCAUAUAGAAUUCCCUCAAAAUUUGAAGAUAGCUUAAAAUUGAGAAAUUAAUCCAAAGGAGAAACAAACACGAACCUAACAAACUAAAACUACCCUAAUAAACUACCUCUCUUUUCAAACAGAAUUAUCAUGCACAAGUACACACUAGUAAAAGAAAAAAAAUUUCUUUAAUUUUAUAUAUUUAAACAUAAUAUAACUUUUUUUAUCUGUUUUAUAUUAUGUUCAUAAUUAGUUUCAGGAUUCGAAAGAAAAAGGAAAAUGAAAUAGAGCGACAAAGUACAUAUAUUCUUCGGGUUUCGUCGCCUCUUUUUUAGACGAGCUCACGAGCAUUGUGUUCGAUAAAUUUAACGCGCGCACUAAACUCGAAAGCGCCUAUUGACAUCAAGAAAUUUACAGGAACGAAGGGUCUCUAUGUUAACAGGACAAGAAUGGUAGAAAUAUGUAUCUGUAUAUAUGUAUAUAUAUACAUAUAUAUAUAUAUGUAUGUAUAUAUAUGUAUAUAGACGUAGUAUAAUAAUAUAUACAAAUUAUAUAUAUAUAUAUAUAUGUAUGGUAUGUGUGUAUGUGUACGUACCAAAGUAGAAAGGGAUAUGGAGAAAAAAUGAGAGGAGACUGCGAGAAAGAGGGAGGCAGAAAAAGAAGGCGAUAGAAAAAGAUAAAAAUGUGGAUAGGGCAGGGAGAAAUGCAGAGAUCGGAUAGAGAUCGAGCGAACAGAGAAACAGGAAAAAGGGGAUGGCAAGGGAGACAGAGAACGUGAGAGGGAGAGAAGGAAGAGUGAGUAGGGAACUCUGAGCGCCGCAGCGCUACGGGGUGGUUGCCCUCGUCUGCGCUUUGUGGGAAAUGCCCGCUCAAUAACGCGUAGGUCCUCGUCUGCCCCUUCUCACCCUCGGAGGCAUCGCAGCAAGGGCCACUGCCCCAAAAGGCACGGCCACCCAUCGAAUAACCCUUAUCCUAUCUCUCCCUCCUACCCAUAAGACAGUUCUUCGAUUUUCUUCCUCCUUCUUCUAUUCUUUUUCCUCUUCCUUUGACCGUCUCAUACGUCGAAAAAGAUCGAAUCCUCGCCCUUGCACACAGACCUCGUGUACAGUCGCCGAAAAGACAAGAGGAACUGACAAAUAUCACUGCACCGAUUAAUCUUGCGGUCUGAUUUGCGUUUUCUAGAUAGCAAGGUCGACUUCUACCGAAUUGAAGAUCAUAAAGCAUACUUUCAUACUUUCUCUAUAUUAUUACUGAUAUUAUUAUUAUCAAUAAAAUAUAAAUAAUGUAAUUUAAUUACAAUUAAACAGUUGUAUUGUGCAUGCCCUUAUAUGUAACACAACAGGGGCGGAUUGGCCAUCGAGGAAUUUGGGAAAUUCCUGGUGGGCCGGUACAGAUUUAGGGCCGCUCUCUGCAGAAUCUAAUUAAUGAACGAAAAAUGGAGGACUAAUCAUGUCGGUAACCUCCUGGUAAAAAUUUAAGUUCCAGCCCGUCCGUGACUAGCAAUAAUUUCUUUAACAUCCACCUGCCACUCUUAGAACAGGAGAAGAAUACAUCUGAACUAAAAUUUGAAUUAAUAGAAAAAAGAAAUUAAAUUACUUUUAAUAUAAGGUGAUGAAGGUGUCUACCAGGAUCAGGAUAUUAAAUGAUGCUAAUGUCUAAGAAUAUUGAGCUUUUAGGGGAAAGUGGUCGAUAUCUGCCCAGUAUUCCGAGUUACCUCACCCUCGUUUCAGGCAUGGUGGAACCCCCAAAGAUCGCUCGGGCAAUGACCUCGAGAUUAUAUAUUCUGCCGGUAUAGGGUGGUACAGGGUUAUUCCCCUUGAAUUUAUCCGCGAAGCUGUAUCUUUUAUCAAAUCGUAUUGAAGCCUGACGAGAAAAAAUUUUAAAUAUUUAUUAAAAAUGAAAGAAAAAUAAAACAA